AUACGGAGGGGGCUAGCGUUGUUCGGAAUUACUGGGCGUAAAGCGCACGUAGGCGGAUUAAAAAGUUAGAGGUGAAAUCCCAGGGCUUAACCCUGGAACUGCCUCCAAAACUAACAGUCUAGAGUUCGAGAGAGGUGAGUGGAAUUCCAAGUGUAGAGGUGAAAUUCGUAGAUAUUUGGAGGAACACCAGUGGCGAAGGCGGCUCACUGGCUCGAUACUGACGCUGAGGUGCGAAAGCGUGGGGAGCAAACAGGAUUAGAUACCCCGGUAGUCC
rnacentral:rRNA from 1 species